ACAAGAUCGGAGAAACAUGUAAGAGGUUGCAACCUGAGACAGGGCAUACGUUUCUUUUCGUUUCUUUCUUUGUUUCUUUAUUUUUUCUUUUUUUUAUU
rnacentral:ribozyme from 16 species